AGCAGGGGACCGCAAGGCCUUGCGCUCUUUGAGCGGCCGAUGUCAGAUUAGCUAGUUGGUGAGGUAACGGCUUACCAAGGCGACGAUCUGUAGCGGGUCUGAGAGGAUGAUCCGCCACACUGGAACUGAGACACGGUCCAGACUCCUACGGGAGGCAGCAGUGGGGAAUUUUGGACAAUGGGGGCAACCCUGAUCCAGCCAUGCCGCGUGAGUGAAGAAGGCCUUCGGGUUGUAAAGCUCUUUCGGCCGGGAAGAAAUCGCAUGGGCCAAUACCCUGUGUGGAUGACGGUACCGGAAUAAGAAGCACCGGCUAACUACGUGCCAGCAGCCGCGGUAAUACGUAGGGUGCGAGCGUUAAUCGAAAUUACUGGGCGUAAAGCGUGCGCAGGCGGUUUUGUAAGACAGGCGUGAAAUCCCCGGGCUCAACCUGGGAACUGCGUUUGUGACUGCAAGGCUAGAGUACGGCAGAGGGGGGUGGAAUUCCACGUGUAGCAGUGAAAUGCGUAGAGAUGUGGAGGAACACCAAUGGCGAAGGCAGCCCCCUGGGUCGAUACUGACGCUCAUGCACGAAAGCGUGGGUAGCAAACAGGAUUAGAUACCCUGGUAGUCCACGCCCUAAACUAUGUCAACUAGGUGUUGGGUGGGUAAAACCAUUUAGUACCGUAGCUAACGCGUGAAGUUGACCGCCUGGGGAGUACGGCCGCAAGGUUAAAACUCAAAGGAAUUGACGGGGACCCGCACAAGCGGUGGAUGAUGUGGAUUAAUUCGAUGCAACGCGAAAAACCUUACCUACCCUUGACAUGCCAGGAACUUGCCAGAGAUGGCUUGGUGCCCGAAAGGGAGCCUGGACACAGGUGCUGCAUGGCUGUCGUCAGCUCGUGUCGUGAGAUGUUGGGUUAAGUCCCGCAACGAGCGCAACCCUUGUCGUUAAUUGCCAUCAUUUAGUUGGGCACUUUAGCGAGACUGCCGGUGACAAACCGGAGGAAGGUGGGGAUGACGUCAAGUCCUCAUGGCCCUUAUGGGUAGGGCUUCACACGUCAUACAAUGGUCGGUACAAAGGGUCGCCAAGCCGCGAGGUGGAGCCAAUCCCAGAAAGCCGAUCGUAGUCCGGAUUGCAGGCUGCAACUCGCCUGCAUGAAGUCGGAAUCGCUAGUAAUCGUGGAUCAGCAUGUCACGGUGAAUACGUUCCCGGGUCUUGUACACACCGCCCGUCACACCAUGGGAGCGGGUUCCGCCAGAAGUAGGUAGCCUAACCGCAAGGAGGGCGCUUACCACGGCGGGGUUCGUGACUGGGGUGAAGUCGGAACAAGGUAGCCGUAGGGAACCUGCGGCUG
rnacentral:rRNA from 1 species